rnacentral:rRNA from 1 species
GACGAACGCUGGCGGUGUGCUUAACACAUGCAAGUCGAACGGUAAGGCCCUUUCGGGGGUACACGAGUGGCGAACGGGUGAGUAACACGUGAGUAACCUGCCCUCAUCUCUGGGAUAACAGUCGGAAACGGUUGCUAAUACUGGAUAUGAGCUUGCAAGGCAUCUUGUGGGUUGGAAAGAUUUUUUUUGGUUGGGGAUGGACUCGCGGCCUAUCAGCUUGUUGGUGAGGUAGUGGCUCACCAAGGCUUCGACGGGUAGCCGGCCUGAGAGGGCGACCGGCCACAGUGGGACUGAGAUACGGCCCAAACUCCUACGGGAGGCAGCAGUGGGGAAUAUUGCACAAUGGACGGAAGUCUGAUGCAGCAACGCCGCGUGCGGGAUGACGGCCUUCGGGUUGUAAACCGCUUUCAAUUGUGACGAAGCUUUUUUGUGACGGUAGCAGUAGAAGAAGCACCGGCUAACUACGUG